rnacentral:rRNA from 1 species
CCUACGGGAGGCAGCAGUGAGGAAUAUUGGUCAAUGGGCUUACGCCUGAACCAGCCAAGUCGCGUGAGGGAAGACUGCCCUAUGGGUUGUAAACCUCUUUUGUCGGGGAGCAAAAGACGCCACGCGUGGCGUUCCGAGAGUACCCGAAGAAAAAGCACCGGCUAACUCCGUGCCAGCAGCCGCGGGACUACGUAGGUGGCAAGAGUUAUCCGGAUUUACUGGGGGUAAAGGGCGUGUAGGCGGGACUGCAAGUCAGAUGUGAAAACCACGGGCUCAACCUGUGGCCUGCAUUUGAAACUGUAGUUCUUGAGUACUGGAGAGGCAGACGGAAUUCCUAGUGUAGCGGUGAAAUGCGUAGAUAUUAGGAGGAACACCAGUGGCGAAGGCGGUCUGCUGGACAGCAACUGACGCUGAGGCGCGAAAGCGUGGGGAGCAAACAGGAUUAGAUACCCUGGUAGUC